GGGGGUGGAGCUCAGUGGUAGAGUGUGUGCUUAUCAUGCAUGAGGAACUGGGUUCAGUCCCCAGUACCUCCA
rnacentral:tRNA from 1 species